AUGGGCCACAUCGCCGCCAACGACACCCCGUUCCCGCACCGGAGCAGCGUGCUCUACAACAUCCAGUACGUGGAGCACUGGAACGGCAAAGGGCCCGGGGGAGACCUUACGCCUACGCCAAACUGGAUCGGGAGCCUGUACGACUUCAUGGCGCAGUUCGUGAGCAAGAACCCGAGGGCCGCGUACGUUAACUACCGGGACCUCGACAUUGGCGUGAACACGGUGGUCGGCGGAGUGACGAGCUACGAAAGUGGCAAGGUGUGGGGCGAGAGGUAUUUUGGUCCGGCAAACUUUAGGAGACUCGCAGAGGUCAAGCGCAGGGUGGACGCCGGCGACUACUUCCGGAACGAGCAGAGCGUGCCGCCACUUCCCUUGAACUAG
rnacentral:rRNA from 1 species